ensembl:lncRNA
UUUUGUCAAAAACACUUUAUCACUUAACACCUAUGUGUUGACACAGACUGCCCUCUACAAUGGCUAAACCCAAAAAUAGUCCUAUAUAAUUGAUGUUUAAAAGCUUUAAUUAUAACAAAUGAGAUCUGCAAAACAUUCAGACAAACUGAAGAAUGAAUGUAAAGUCAUCAGUAAUUUUUAAUACACCUGUGUUGCAUAUAGGCCUGUCCAUCAUGAUAUAGGCAAUAUAGGCAAUUGAAUGUGAACCAGAAAGUUUUUUUGUUUUCGUUUGACAGGAAAGCUGUUUAAAAGGGGAUAAAACAUACUUUAUCCAACAAAGAGUUACUGAAAGCACUCAGUUAUGAAAUAUAAUGGGGAUUUGGCAUAAACUCGCCUUUCACCUCAAACUAAUCUAAUAUCUGAAUCACUAGCAUUAAUCAUUUAUGUGUGCUGCAGGUAAGAACGGGAUAGUGACUGGGCUGUUUACAGAAGGAGGAGGUCUCCCGUUCUCCCUGUUCUACAUUUGAUAAGUAGUCAUUGAGGAAAUCUAUCAGGUGUGAGAGUACCGAGAGACUGAAUCACGGACGCGGACCCUGCAGGCCACUGAAUCACCCUCUUUUUAGCACAUAGAUGCGUAUCAGCGUCCAAGCUGUCUUCUGGAAGCUUAAGUUUGUCUUCAGCUAUGGCAAACAAAUGUCAAGAGCAGCCAUGAGCAACACACAACCCCCUCAGGAGCAGCACUGUUGAUGUUUAAGAGAGGAAAGUACCCAUUUGAAACCACUGUCCAUUAAGUGUGUUGGGAACAGGUCCUCCUGUCUGUGUGGGUGGUCUGUAAAGCUACACUGGAAAAAUUGCAGCAAAAGCAGCAUGUUGUAUCGGCCCGCAGCCAGAAGCCCAGAUGUGACAUUAAUUGUUUGUAAUCUGCUCAAUGAGCCAGUAGUCACUUUUCACACUCAGUAACUAUAGGGUAGACUUUGUAAGUUAAACAAUAAAACCUUAUAUUUAAGUUCAAUAAAGAGGAACAGGAAAUGUAAUGUUUUUAAAGUAAUUCAACCAGAAGUUACAUGACCUCUACUGGUUUCGUGAAAAGACAGACUGUGGGCUGCGGAUCCAAAAUCCACUUCUGCACCUGUCAAGGAUGAAUUAAACAGAAAUAUGUCUUAUCAGAAUGAUGCGUUUGUUUCAAAUAUA